rnacentral:rRNA from 1 species
GAUGAACGCUGGCGGCGUGCCUAAUACAUGCAAGUCGAGCGAACAGACGAGGAGCUUGCCCCUCUGACGUUAGCGGCGGACGGGUGAGUAACACGUGGAUCACCUACCUAUAAGACUGGGAUAACUUCGGGAAACCGGAGCUAAUACCGGAUAAUAUAUUGAACCGCAUGGUUCAAUAGUGAAAGACGGUUUUGCUGUCACUUAUAGAUGGAUCCGCGCCGCAUUAGCUAGUUGGUAAGGUAACGGCUUACCAAGGCAACGAUGCGUAGCCGACCUGAGAGGGUGAUCGGCCACACUGGAACUGAGACACGGUCCAGACUCCUACGGGAGGCAGCAGUAGGGAAUCUUGCGCAAUGGGCGAAAGCCUGACGGAGCAACGCCGCGUGAGGGAUGAAGGUCUUCGGAUCGUAAAACUCUGUUAUUAGGGAAGAACAAAUGUGUAAGUAACUAUGCACGUCUUGACGGUACCUAAUCAGAAAGCCACGGCUAACUACGUG